rnacentral:rRNA from 1 species
UGGGGAAUUUUGCACAAUGGGGGAAACCCUGAUGCAGCGACGCCGCGUGAUUUAGAAGGCCUUCGGGUUGUAAAAAUCUUUUGUAUGGGAAGAAAAUGACAGUACCAUACGAAUAAGGACCGGCUAAUUACGUGCCAGCAGCCGCGGUAAUACGUAAGGUCCGAGCGUUGUCCGGAAUCAUUGGGCGUAAAGGGUACGUAGGCGGGUAAGCAAGUUAGAAGUGAAAUCCUAUAGCUCAACUAUAGUAAGCUUUUAAAACUGCUCAUCUUGAGGUAUGGAAGGGAAAGUGGAAUUCCUAGUGUAGCGGUGAAAUGCGCAGAUAUUAGGAGGAAUACCGGUGGCGAAGGCGACUUUCUGGCCAUAUACUGACGCUGAGGUACGAAAGCGUGGGUAGCAAACAGG